UACGUAGGGUGCAAGCGUUAAUCGGAAUUACUGGGCGUAAAGCGUGCGCAGGCGGUGAUGUAAGACAGGUGUGAAAUCCCCGGGCUUAACCUGGGAACUGCAUUUGUGACUGCAUCGCUGGAGUGGCGGCAGAGGGGGAUGGAAUUCCGCGUGUAGCAGUGAAAUGCGUAGAUAUGGCGGAGGAACACCGAUGGCGAAGGCAUCCCCUGGGCCUGCACUGGACGCUCAUGCACGAAAGCGUGGGGAGCAAACAGG
rnacentral:rRNA from 1 species